UGGGAAUAUUGGGCAAUGGACGCAAGUCUGACCCAGCCAUGCCGCGUGCAGGAUGAAGGCGUUNUGCGUCGUAAACUGCUUUUAUACAGGAAGAAACGACUCUUGCGAGAGGCAUUGACGGUACUGUAUGAAUAAGCACCGGCUAACUCCGUGCCAGCAGCCGCGGUAAUACGGAGGGUGCAAGCGUUGUCCGGAUUUAUUGGGUUUAAAGGGUGCGCAGGUGGUUUAUUAAGUCAGUGGUGAAAGACGGUCGCUCAACGAUUGCAGUGCCAUUGAAACUAGUAGACUUGAGUAAAGUAGAGGUGGGCGGAAUUGAUAGUGUAGCGGUGAAAUGCAUAGAUAUUAUCAAGAACUCCAAUUGCGUAGGCAGCUCACUUGGCUUUUACUGACACUCAUGCACGAAAGUGUGGGUAUCAAACAGGAUUAGAUACC
rnacentral:rRNA from 1 species